GAGAGCUUGCUCUCGGGUGACGAGCGGCGGACGGGUGAGUAAUGUCUGGGAAACUGCCUGAUGGAGGGGGAUAACUACUGGAAACGGUAGCUAAUACCGCAUAAUGUCGCAAGACCAAAGUGGGGGACCUUCGGGCCUCAUGCCAUCAGAUGUGCCCAGAUGGGAUUAGCUAGUAGGUGGGGUAACGGCUCACCUAGGCGACGAUCCCUAGCUGGUCUGAGAGGAUGACCAGCCACACUGGAACUGAGACACGGUCCAGACUCCUACGGGAGGCAGCAGUGGGGAAUAUUGCACAAUGGGCGCAAGCCUGAUGCAGCCAUGCCGCGUGUGUGAAGAAGGCCUUCGGGUUGUAAAGCACUUUCAGCGGGGAGGAAGGCGUUGAGGUUAAUAACCUUGUCGAUUGACGUUACCCGCAGAAGAAGCACCGGCUAACUCCGUGCCAGCAGCCGCGGUAAUACGGAGGGUGCAAGCGUUAAUCGGAAUUACUGGGCGUAAAGCGCACGCAGGCGGUCUGUCAAGUCGGAUGUGAAAUCCCCGGGCUCAACCUGGGAA
rnacentral:rRNA from 1 species